CAUAUGUUCUGUAAUGUUUAAUAGAGAUACUGUCUGAAUACAUCAAUAGACAUACUUAUCUUACCAUAUGUUCCAUAAUGUUUAAUGGAGGUCUGAAUACAUCACUAGACAUGCUCAUCUUACCAUAUGUUCUGUAAUGUUUAAUAGAGGUCUGAAUACAUCACUAGACAUGCUCAUCUUACCAUAUGUUCUGUAAUGUUUAAUAGAGGUCUGAAUACAUCACUAGACAUGCUCAUCUUACCAUAUGUUCUGUAAUGUUUAAUAGAGGUCUGAAUACAUCACUAGACAUGCUCAUCUUACCAUAUGUUCUGUAAUGUUUAAUAGAGGUCUGAAUACAUCACUAGACAUGCUCAUCUUACCAUAUGUUCUGUAAUGUUUAAUAGAGGUCUGAAUACAUCACUAGACAUGCUCAUCUUACCAUAUGUUCUGUAAUGUUUAAUAGAGGUCUGAAUACAUCACUAGACAUGCUCA